CGGGGUGUGGUCCACCGGUAGGAUGCGCGGUUCGGGAUCGCGCGGACUGAGUUCAAUUCUCAGCACCCCGACAA
rnacentral:tRNA from 1 species